rnacentral:rRNA from 1 species
UAAGGAAUAUUGGUCAAUGGACGAAAGUCUGAACCAGCCAUGCCGCGUGAAGGAUUAAGGCCCUCUGGGUUGUAAACUUCUUUUAUCUGGGACGAAAAAAGGGCUUUCUAGCUCACUUGACGGUACCAGAGGAAUAAGCACCGGCUAACUCCGUGCCAGCAGCCGCGGUAAUACGGAGGGUGCAAGCGUUAUCCGGAUUUACUGGGUUUAAAGGGUGCGUAGGUGGGUCUGUAAGUCAGUGGUGAAAUCUCCGAGCUUAACUCGGAAACUGCCCUUGAUACUAUAGGUCUUGAAUUGUCUGGAGGUAAGCGGAAUAUGUCAUGUAGCGGUGAAAUGCUUAGAUAUGACAUAGAACACCAAUUGCGAAGGCAGCUUACUACGGAUUGAUUGACACUGAGGCACGAAAGCGUGGGAUCAAACAGGAUUA